UACGUAGGUGGCAAGCGUUGUUCGGAAUUACUGGGCGUAAAGGGCGCGUAGGCGGACCUGCAAGUUAGAUGUGAAAGGCCUGGGCUCAACCUGGGAACGGCCUCUAAGACUGAUGAUCUUGAGUCCGGAAGAGGAUGGCGGAAUUCCCAGUGUAGAGGUGAAAUUCGUAGAUAUUGGGAAGAACACCGGUGGCGAAGGCGGCCAUCUGGUCCGGCACUGACGCUGAGGCGCGAAAGCGUGGGGAGCAAACAGG
rnacentral:misc_RNA from 1 species